rnacentral:sRNA from 1 species
GGUACAAACAAGCCAUACAAACACCCCUAGCAUACACACUCAAACUCCCCUCCAAUCG